rnacentral:rRNA from 1 species
UACGGAGGGGACUAGCGUUGUUCGGAAUUACUGGGCGUAAAGCGCACGUGGGCGGAUUUGUAAGUCAGGGGUGAAAUCCCGGGGCUCAACCUCGGAACUGCCUUUGAUACUGCAAAUCUCGAGUCCGGAAGAGGUGAGUGGAAUUCCUAGUGUAGAGGUGAAAUUCGUAGAUAUUAGGAAGAACACCAGUGGCGAAGGCGGAUCACUGGUCCGGUACUGACGCUGAGGUGCGAAAGCGUGGGGAGCAAACAGG